UACGUAGGGGGCAAGCGUUGUCCGGAUUUAUUGGGCGUAAAGAGCGUGUAGGCGGCCAGACAGGUCCGUUGUGAAAACUCGAGGCUCAACCUCGAGAUGUCGAUGGAAACCGUCUGGCUAGAGUCCGGAAGAGGAGUGUGGAAUUCCUGGUGUAGCGGUGAAAUGCGCAGAUAUCAGGAAGAACACCCAUGGCGAAGGCAGCACUCUGGGACGGUACUGACGCUGAUGCGCGAAAGCGUGGGGAGCAAACAGG
rnacentral:rRNA from 1 species